rnacentral:rRNA from 1 species
CCUACGGGAGGCAGCAGUGGGGAAUAUUGGGCAAUGGAGGCAACUCUGACCCAGCAACGCCGCGUGAAUGAUGAAGGUCUUCGGAUUGUAAAGUUCUGUGAUGGGGGAUGAACACAAUGACGGUACCCCAAUUGCAAGCCACCGCUAACUACGUGCCAGCAGCCGCGGUAAUACGUAGGUGGCAAGCGUUAUCCGGAAUGACUGGGCGUAAAGGGUGCGUAGGUGGUUUAGUAAGUUGGCGGUGUAAUUCCGGGGCUCAACCUCGGCGCUACCGCCAAUACUAGUAGACUAGAGUGCGGGAGGGGUAAGUGGAAUUCCUAGUGUAGCGGUGGAAUGCGUAGAUAUUAGGAAGAACAUCAGGGGCGAAGGCGACUUACUGGACUGUAACUGACACUGAGGCACGAAAGCGUGGGGAGCAAACAGGAUUAGAUACCCCUGUAGUC